rnacentral:rRNA from 1 species
GCGAGAAAACUUUGCAAUGUGCGAAAGCCUGACGGAGCAAUGCCGCGUGUGGGAUGAAGCGCCUUCGGCGUGUAAACCACUGUCAGGGAAUGGAACCAAUGAUUAUUCCCAAAGGAAGUGGCGACUAACUCUGUGCCAGCAGUCGCGGUAAUACAGAGGCCACAAGCGUUAGUCGGAAUCACUGGGCUUAAAGGGUGCGUAGGCGGGCCCGCAAGCGUCUUGUGAAAUCCCAUGGCUCAACCAUGGAAUUGCAGGGCGAACUGCGGGUCUUGAGGCAGGUAGGGGCCGGAAGAACAGUAGGUGGAGCGGUGAAAUGCGUAGAUAUAGGAAGGAACACCAGUGGCGAAGGCGACCACCUGGACUGAUACUGACACUGAGGUGCGAAAGCGUGGGGAGCAAACAGGAUUAGAUACCCGCGUAGUCCCUGAGCGGGCUGGCAAGGCGCAU